rnacentral:rRNA from 1 species
GAUGAACGCUGGCGGCGUGCCUAAUACAUGCAAGUCGAGCGAACAGACGAGGAGCUUGCUCCUCUGACGUUAGCGGCGGACGGGUGAGUAACACGUGGAUAACCUACCUAUAAGACUGGGAUAACUUCGGGAAACCGGAGCUAAUACCGGAUAAUAUAUUGAACCGCAUGGUUCAAUAGUGAAAGACGGUUUUGCUGUCACUUAUAGAUGGAUCCGCGCCGCAUUAGCUAGUUGGUAAGGUAACGGCUUACCAAGGCAACGAUGCGUAGCCGACCUGAGAGGGUGAUCGGCCACACUGGAACUGAGACACGGUCCAGACUCCUACGGGGGGCAGCAGUAGGGAAUCUUCCGCAAAGGGCGAAAGCCUGGCGGAGCAACGCCGCGUGAGUGAUGAAGGUCUUCGGAUCGUAAAACUCUGUUAUUAGGGAAGAACAAAUGUGUAAGUAACUAUGCACGUCUUGACGGUACCUAAUCAGAAAGCCACGGCUAACUACGUG